UAUUAACCUUCCAUCAAGUAAAAAUAAUAACAAGGAUGCUGUUGGUUAUUUAGUGUUGUUCUGACAGGUGUGACGAAGACCUAGAAUUUCACAAUAGCUCUCCACAUGCUGUGCUUCUGUAUUUGUGUUAAGUGUUGCUAGGUUGAGUCUGAUUUUUUAAUUUAGUCUCACAUUUGUCAUCAGUCAAUUUAAUAUUUAGUUUUGCUAUUUUAUUAUAUUGAAAGUCUAUACUUACUCCUUAACACGCCAUCUCAAAUAAAUGAAGUGCUGAACAGACACAACUUAAGCAUAUUAUCUCACAAGAUGAAUUUCAUUUUCUCUCAUAUAAUAAAUUUGGCACAUAGACAUCAAGCUAGCAUCACCCAAAUAUAGCCACUAACCAAACCUCAGCAGCCAGUGGUAUAAAAGUCAGCACUGCACUAAAAGCAGCAUUAAGAAAAUCAAGCUUACAAAUUUUUGAGCAAAAUAAUUUUAAUUUCAUUCCUAACCAAACAUAUUUAUAAUGGAAAGCAGUGAUUUACAGGGGAAAAUGUGUACGGUGGGAGAUCAUUACAUAUUUACAGUGAAUGUGGCAGAAUUUGCACCAGAAGAAGUGAUUGUAACAUCCACCAAUAAUUGCAUACAAGUCCAUGCAGAAAAGUUGGCAUCGGAUGGAACAAUUGAGAACUCCGUUUGUCAAAAGUGCCAAUUCCCAGCUGAUGUGGAUCCAAUGUCAGUCACAUCAUUUCUAGAGAAAAAUGGCAUGUUGAGUAUUAAAGCUCACAAGGCCAUUGGACAUACAUAAUGCAUGGACAUAGGUUUGGAAAAAGUAUGUUUUACUUUAAAUGAUUUUAAGAACACAUAUCUGGAUUGUUAAACUAACAAAUCUGUUUAUUUUAAUAAAAUCAAUUACAUUAUGGUACAAACUGUAUGUUUAUAAUUAUACAUGUUUGUUAAUACAA